UGUAAGUCAGCAAACGCUAGAAGACUCUU
rnacentral:piRNA from 1 species